rnacentral:rRNA from 1 species
AUUGAACGCUGGCGGCAUGCCUUACACAUGCAAGUCGAACGGCAGCGGACCUUCGGGUGCCGGCGAGUGGCGAACGGGUGAGUAAAGUAUCGGAACGUACCUUUCAGUGGGGGAUAACGUAGCGAAAGUUACGCUAAUACCGCAUAUUCUGUGAGCAGGAAAGCAGGGGAUCGCAAGACCUUGCGCUGAUUGAGCGGCCGAUAUCAGAUUAGCUAGUUGGUGAGGUAAAGGCUCACCAAGGCGACGAUCUGUAGCGGGUCUGAGAGGAUGAUCCGCCACACUGGAACUGAGACACGGUCCAGACUCCGACGGGAGGAAGCAGUGGGGAAUUUUGGACAAUGGGGGCAACCCUGAUCCAGCCAUGCCGCGUGAGUGAAGAAGGCCUUCGGGUUGUAAAGCCCUUUCGGCCGGGAAGAAAUCGCGCCAGUUAAUACCUGGUGUGGACGACGGUACCGGAAUAAGAAGCACCGGCUAACUACGUGCCAGCCGCCGCGGUAAUAC